AACAUUUCUGGAAUUCUGGUUGUAAAUAAAUCAUGCUCUUGGGCACAAUAGGCAAGCUAACCUUCAGUAUGUUAUUUAUCUUUCAUUCUAUUUAAAUAUAUGUGCAUUUUAAUCUAUAUAUUUUACUGUCAACAGUUAGUGCCGUUUUUUACGCAUGUGCGUAAAUGCGCAAGGGAACUCCGGAGUAUGAGGUAUGAGGGAACCUGUGAUGAAUAAAACAUCAAAUAAAGCAAAAUGACAUGGAGCGAAAGCAGUGAAGUAGUCAUUAUGUGCAUUACAGCAGCAUCUCUGAGAUCUGGAAUAGAUUAAUAAGCAGAUGUUAUUACUCCUCCACACUGUGGGUGACGUUAAUAAGGACAGUCUUAUAUUGUUGAACCAAUGUUGUUCAAACGACAGAGGUGUGACCAUGUUACUACAGUUUUGGGAAACAUUUGUGAAUAGUUGGUUAGUUUCUUAUAUGGUAGUUAAUCAGUGAGUUACAUCAUUGAAUAGGAAACGCACCCCUGGUUGAGAACCGCUGGUCUUAUCCAUACACAAUGCUAAAAAUGUUUGGUGUAGCUGGAGUACAAGCUUUUGUAAGCCUUCAGUGAUAAUGAGUGAAAAUGGUUGUCUUGUGUUUUUCUGUCUGAUGACUUUGUUUAUCAAGCAACAACAAACCUUUGGGGUUUAUCAAGCAUUACGGCUCAAAAAAAGUACCAUGGUAACUACAUUUUCUGCCAAAAUUCCAUAGUAACUGCAUUUAUUUGUAUUACUAGAACACCAGGGCUACAUUUUUACAUUGUUUUACUAAGAUAAAUUAUUAAUUCUUGGUAUUCCUAAGAUAUUCUGAUAUCCAAAGCCCUCCCUAUAUGGAUCAAGUUCAUCUUUCAAUAUAAGGCCAGAAACACGUUAAUUAACUUGCUCAAGAUUAUCUUCAAACUAUUGCUCUUACAGUAAGAUUUCAUUAUCAGGUCAACUAAAUUCGUGUCAAAGACAGGUAAACAACGUAAUAUGGGAUCUCAGUCAAAGAAAACGUUUUUCUGUCUUAAAAGAAUAUUUAAUUUAAUUUCCUUUUAGAUGACAGUUGUGCCAAUCAUAAAGUUAAUAAUAACAAGUCACUUGGUUUUUUGGUGGGUGCUAUGGUUACAACGGUUAAAAAAAAUGUAAUGGUAAAGAGUGUUUACAGUAAUAAAAAUGUUGUUAUGGCAACCCGAGAAAGAGAUAAUUUAUAAAAAAAAAAAAAAAAAUGUGGGAUACAAGAUUAAAUGUACUUUCUCUCUUUUCCAUUCUCUAGAGGCAACAGAGGCUGAUGGCAGAAAGAGCAGAAGGAGGCCUUUCACACCUCUAGACUCCAAAGGGAGCGCUGACACGCCGCAGGUUUGGAUAGUGUCGCUAAGCCGCCAUUCAUCCUCUCUGAACGUGUGCGCGGCAUGAUAGCGGCUGUUUGGAUCCCUGGAGGAAGUUCACCUGUAACUUCUGUUAUACAGCAUCGAAUGGGGCUCUACAACAUCUGCUCAGCCACUGCAACACUUCUGACAAUUGAUUUUAAAGUAGGAUUUCAAAUGCAAUAAGAUAUAAAAAGCUGCAUUAAAAUGAUUUUACAGUUAUAAAGUAUUGUUAAAGUGUCUACAACAGGUUUACAUUAAUCAAAGGUCAAAAAACACUUUCAUUUUCUUAUACACAUCACCACGUGAUUCUCAAACAACUCGCCGGAUGAAUCAGUCUCUCUAAAUCCCUUUCCGCGAGCCUGCUCGGCUCUGAUUGGCCAGACGGCCCAAUCUAUUGUGAUUGGUCUACCACUUACAAUGCAAGUCAGAAACAAACGGCCAUUACCAUAACUGAUUCAGCUCCGUAGGCUUCCUAAAGCUCAGCGAUUGUACACACUGUAAAGGCAGUAAAGAUAGUGUUGAUUUUACUAUAUCAAUCUGAGUCCGAUGAUAAAAUAUUGGAAGAACUAAUUAUUCAACCCAAACCUCCAUCGCAAGGACGACUUGAGCAGGAUGUUUCUCAGUGAUAUGUCACUCAGUUUGACAUUCAUCAUGAGAUGUUGCAACUGUAAUUCAUCACCAUCAGCAUUAAGUGUAUGUCCAUCAACAAACUGAUGUGUAUAUUUCAAAUUUAUUGCAGUGCACAUGUGGGAACUGUAUUAUUAACAGUAUCAAUAACAGUGCAUAGGUUAGCCAAGCA